rnacentral:lncRNA from 10 species
AAAUGCCUGAAUCUCCAGACAGGAGCUUGCUGCAGGGGUGAGGCUCUUAUGGAGAAACUCUGCUAGGGCAGUGCAGAAGGGAAAUGUGGGGUUGGAGCACCCACACAGAGUCCCUACUGAGGAACUGCCUAGUGGAGCUGUGAGAAGAGGGCUACCAUCCUCUAGACCCCAGAAUGGUAGAUCCACUGACAGCUUAUACCGUGUGCCUGGAAAAGCCACAGGCAUUCAACACCAUCCUGGGAAAGCAGCCAGGAGGGAGGCUGUACCCUGAAAAGCCACAGGGGUGGAGCUGCCCAUGACCGUGAGAACCCACCUCUUGCAUCAGAGUAACCUGGAUGUGAGACAUGGAGUCAAAUGAGAUUAUUUUGGAGCUUUAAGAUUUGACUGCCCUGCUGGAUUUUGGACUUGCAUGGGACCUGUAGCCCCUUUGUUUUGGCCAAUUUCUCUCAUUUGGAAUGGCUGUAUUUACCCAAGGACUGUACCCCCACUGUAUCUAGGAAACAACUAACUUGCUUUUGAUUUUACAUGCUCAUAGGCAGAAGGGACUUGCCUUGCCUUGGAUGAAACUUUGGACAGUGGACUUUGAGUUAAUGAUGAAAUGAGUUAAGAUUUUGGGGGACUGUUGGAAAGGCAUGACUAGUUUUGAAAUGUGAGGACAUGAGAUUUGGAAGGGGUCAGGGUGGAAUGAUAUGGUUUGGCUGUGUCCUCACCCAAAUCUCAUCUUUAAUUUCCAUGCAUUGUGGGAGGGACCCCAUGGGAGGUAAUUGAAUCAUUUGGGCAGUUCUUUCCUGUGCUGUUCCUGUGAUAGUCAAUAAGUCUCAUGCGAUCUGACUGUUUUAAAAAGAGGAGUUCCCCUGCACAAGCUCUCUUUUUGCCUGCUACCAUCCAUGUAAGAUGUGACUUGCUCUUUCUUGCCUUCCACCAUGAUUCUGAUGCCUCCGCAGCCACGUGGAAUGGAUAAGAAGAUAAGUUUUAGAGAAUAAAAUGGGAAGCCAUCAGAAAAGUAAAUGAAAGAAAAUCUUUUGAAUCAUUUGAAUACAUUUUUGAAGAAAAUAGAUGGAAUGCUAUAAAAAGGACAAGAUUUCUGAGCCAUUAUAUUCAGUAUAAUGUAGCACUAAUAUGUCAUUGAUGGAGAAGGAUAUGAAUUUAGCGUCUAUCUUCAUGUCAGCCGUAAAUGAUAAAACUGAAGAAAAACCGAGAGAAAAUAUACAUGAAAAAUCCAUUAACCAAAUGUAUUUUCUGAAGAUCUGGAUACCUGACAAUAUAAUCUGAAUAUUAAACAAUGGAAAAAUUUUAAAUUGCCAAAUGACAGAAAAGACUUCAAAAGCAUUAAUGAGUUCUUCCAAAUUCUUAAAAAUAUAAUAGAUUCUGGUUACUUCAUUGCAAACCAAAGUAUUUUAUAUAUUUUUAUAUUACAAAUUAGGUAGACAGAAAAUAUUCACCCGAAGACUGAGAAGGUGGAUAAUGUAUGAAAAACAUAGGCAGUAUUUAUUAAAUUUUCUUGGCAAACAUGAAGAGAGCAAAAAUAAUGCCAUUCUGCUCCAGAUACUUCCUUUUACAUUUCAAGAGCCUUGCCUGGCGGACUCAAAUCAGAAUUUUAUUGUAAGUCAUAGGGUAGAUGAUAUGAUAUUUAAUAUAAGGAAAGAGAAAGAGAUGAAGGAGAAACUGCUGUGCGUGGUAAAUGGAGCCAGAGGAAGGGUGAUUUAUGAGAAUGUUGCCUGAGAUCAUCACUGAAAUGAGAAGAGAAAAGAGAGUUCCAUUGGAGAGCAGGAAAAAAAAAUAUGGUAUUACAUUUGAUUUUUUAAAUUUACUGUGUAUUUUAGAAACAAAACAACAAGAAGGCUUAAAGCUUUGUUAGCCCAAAGCACUGUUUGAAAACUGGGAUAGACUAAGAUACUUUUAGUGGCUCAUUGAAGGUCUCAUCACGCUGCCUCAUUCUUCCCAUUAUUGAGUGGGAAUUGGGAUUCCCACUAAUGUAUCUGUAUUAGAGAUUAGAUACAUUUCUGAUAGAAACACAACUUACAGGCUGGGCGCCGUGGCUCAUGCCUGUAAUCCUAGCAUUUUGGGAGGCCGAAGUAGGUGGAUUGCCUGAGCUCUCAGGAGUUCGAGACCAGCCUGGGGAAUACGGUGAAACCCCGUCUCUACUAAAAAUACAAAAAUGUUUGCCGGGCGUGACGGUGUGCACCUGUAAUCCCAGCUACUCGGAAAGCUGAGACAGGAGAAUCGCUUGAACCUGGGAGGCGAGAUUGCAGUGAGCUGAAGAUUGCACCAUUGCACCCUAGCCUGGUGACAGAGCUAGACUCCAUCUCAAAAAAAAAAAUAAUAAUAAUUUACACAUUUACCCAUCUGAACUGUAGGGUGUAAAUUUAAACUCAUGCUACACUAACAUUUACUUAAUAACUAUUAUGCUGUUAAGAUGUGCUAAGCCUUUUAUAUCUAUUCAUUUAAUAUUCAGAAAAGUUCAUGAGGUGGAUUUAGGGAGAUUAAGCAAAUGCCCAAAUUAUAGAAAAUCAUUUGCCUGGUCAAAGAUUUGUGUUCUUUGCACUUUGUACUGCCUCUUAAUAACAAAAAAUUGUUUGCAUUUAUUUAUGGAGGAAGAAUAUAGAUGGGGAUGAAGGAGGAGAAGGGGAAGAGAGGAAGGCUCUGCCACAAAGAGGGUGAGAUGGAGAAAAAGGAGACAGUUGAAUAGCGGGAGGGAAAGGGAAGAAGGUAAGAAGAUAAAGAAGAAAGGAGGGAGGGAAGGAGAGAGAGAGGGAGGGGAGAAGGAAGGAAAGAAAGAAGUCAGGGAGGAAACAGCCACACUACUUGCAGUUAGAGGUAUAAAUAUUAAAGAGAAAGACCUGAAGAGAUCAGAACAACUGAAAUUUCUUUUGUGACCGUCCACUCAGACAAAGCAAAUGAUGUCUGGAAUGAAAGAGAAAAACAAAUACAUCUCAAAAGUGUAAAUGAUUGGAUUCUAAAGGUGAGUUUUUAAAUUUCUCUUGCUCCAUGAUUGGAUCCUAUUCUAUAAGGUAAUGUGUAGAAGAAAUAUUAGAGUAGCUUUUAAGAAUUAAAAAGACUAAGAGAAAUGCCAAAAAAGAAGAUAGAAAGUUGUAAUUCUGAUUUUCACCAUGGUAAUACAGGUCUAGAAAAAAAUAGCUUUAUCAGAUGGAUUUAUAACUGGUGGAUAGUGUUCAAACAGGAUCACUUAGUCCUUCCCACCCAGCAGUGAGAUCCCAGUCCAAAGACUUCUGCCCUCCCUCCCCACACAGGGAGCUCCCCCAGCAGCCUGCUGCGCUCCACAGGCUACCCAGUACACCCAUGUACACGCUUGCACACUGAAGCACAGAGCACUGCCUAUAUCCAGCCUGGCCAGGCCCUCGGCACGCCAGGCAUGUCUGCCGGAUGGAGAAACAGGAAGCCUGCGUGUGCGGCCAGAGUGCGCCAGAGGCUGGGUGGGGGAUGGUUUGAUUUCACACUGGAGGGGGACUUUUAGCACAGAAACAGUGAGUUUGUCUCUCAACAUUUGAUAGCAAAUAGUCUACAUUUUAUAUAGUAAUGACUUAUGUGGAAGGGGAAGGGACACAGAAUUUGCAAAUUACACAAAACUGAAAGGGAUAGAAAAACAUUUCAUGGUGAACACUAAAUGCAAAUUGAUGUCAAUAUGUUGCUUUGAUAAAUUAAAUGUUAAAAAAUAAACCAUCUUGAACUUUAUUUAAAAAAGGGACUCCUCAGAUAUAAAAUAAAAGCUAUGAGGCUUAUACACGUGGGCUUUCAGAUGACCUGACCUUCAAUAUGAAUUGUUGUUGUCAUGCGGCUGCUGGUAAAUCUACCUUGAGCCUCGAUUUUAUUAAAAAGAGACAUUUUCUCAAAAGAGAAAAACAUGACUAGUUCUGUACACCAUUCUUUCAAGGAGACAGAGGAAAAGGAACAAACAGGGUAUAUUUGGAGAUAGUGACCAAUGCAGGGCCAAAGCGAAUUGCAGACCUUUGAGAAACCAAGCUUCAUCCAGACUGCCUUCUUAAAAGCCUGUAAGGUGAAAAGCCAACGUGCUUACUCCAUAGAAGCUCUAGUUCUGUGGAAAUAGUGUUAAUGCAUAAAGAUUGUGGAGAAACUGAUUUUGACUUAAGGCAAGGCCAUAUUUCUCACAAUCACAACUGAUUGAAUAGUAGGUUUCCCAUCACAGAAGGUCUUCAAAUACAAGUUUGAUGAUCAGCUGGGGCAAGGUAUUUUGUAUCGUUCAUUGCUUUUGUCACCUGUUCCCAAAUAACCCUUGGCACACAUUAGCCACCAAGAAAUAUUUAUUGAAUAAUUAAAUAGAAAGGAGUUACAACCAAUAUAUAUUAAGCAGUCAUUAUUGGUCAAGCAUAGCUAAUUUUCCAAAACGCUAUAGUAGGAACAGUUAUUUUUAUUUUGUAGCUCAGAGGAAUGAAGCUAACAAAGACAAAGUCAUUUGUCCAAGCCACCCAGGAGAUAAGUGAUUAGAGGCAGGAUUAUAAUUGCAGCCUAUCUGUCCCAAGUGUUUCAAGAUUCAGAAGAUUGUUGGCCCAGAUAAUUUACAAGGUUCUUUCACCAAACAUUCCAUUAUGUAUGCCAACAGGAAGAACUUGAAUUUACCAACUGUUAGUACAUUAGAACCAAUUUGUUCACUGUAUUUGUUAACAUUCACAUGGCGGGUAGGGAUAUGGUCUCUGAGGCAAUUACAUAUAAAUUGUGGACAUUUUAAUUAAUUAGUAGGAAAAAGUUCAGGAAGGCAGCCAGGUAGAGUAGUUUAGUAUGAGUUUGAGUAGCUGGAGGCCAGGGUAGGGCUGGGGCUUUAUUCUUUUUUGGGUGUCUAAAAGAAGUGUAUAGAGAUAGCAGAAAGUGCAACCAAAGACAAAUUACACUAUUUUGUAAUCUUGCCUGUUUUAAAAUGCUCAUUAGAUUUUGAUUAGUAAUGCAGACUGUGAGCUGUUGAGGCCAAGUUUCAUGUCUUAUUAAUAUUUGCAUGCCCCGAGACUUGCACAGUGACAUGCAGCUGGAAUGGUGCUGAUUUGAAUGGACAACUUUCACUUGUAAAAAAAACCCCUUGCUUAUAGUAACUCUGAAAUUUACCAGCAGCUUAUCUUUAAGAUUUAUCUCAAAGUUUUUUCUAGAAAGCAUUCCAUGACUGACUUGCAUAACUACCUUUGAUUGUUUGUUGUUGUUUUAAAAUUAUUUAUCACCCUGUGUUUCCCUGUAAGAACACCACCGUGACUCAUUAUAAUGCACUGCUUAAUUAUCUGCAAGCUCCCCCACACCAACCCCAAACACACACAUAAGACUCUAAACUCUAGUGUGGUGGUGUGGAGAUGAUAACCAAAGUAAAACCUCCAUGAGGCAAAGUUAAACAGGUAAGGCAAACUUUAUUCAAAACUAUAGAGAGGGCAGAACUGUUCAAACUUUAUUCAAAGCUAUAGACAGGGCAGAACUCAGUCUGAGCUCCAUUCUGCUGAAACAAAGGGCUAGAGAGUUCUUCAGAGCUGGCGUGGGGGUAAUGAUAGACCAUGCUGGCUAAUUGUCUUUACUCAAAGGAAAAGGUAAACUUUCUCCUAUCUUCAUAACAGAAGGUAGUUUUGCAGCUUGGAGCAAGGUGGCUGCUUAAGUUAGGCUCUGAUUUUACCCCCGCUCCACACAAAAAUGAGACAUAGAGACACCAUCUUCCUUUCUUACAUUUCAUAGGGAUGGCUCUCAGGUCCUUAAGAAAGGCAUUGUUUGCAUGUUCUCACUCAUAGGUGGGAAUUGAACAAUGAGAACACUUGGACAUAGGAAGGGGAACAUCAACACCGGGGCCUGUCGUGGGGUGGGAGGAGGGGGGAGGGAUAGCAUUAGGAGAUAUACCUAAUGUAAAUGACGAGUUAAUGGGUGCAGCACACUAACAUGGCACAUGUAUACAUAUGUAACAAACCUGCACGUUGUGCACAUGUACCCUAGAACUUAAAGUAUAAUAAUUAAAAAAAAAAAACAGAAAGGCGUUGUUUGGUUUUAAAGUUAACAGGAGGCUUUCUAAAAGAUUUACAUCUCUAAUGGGCAAAUAAAGAAUUUACAAUGACAAGUUUUCUAAAGUAAAUAAUCUAUUAAAAAAUGGCAAGGGGUUGGGGUGGGUGGCAUUCAGGGACCUAAAGUCAGGAAGAAGCCUGUCUGAAGUUUAGUUAAGCUGAGGGCAAGGUUAAGGCCCUCUUGGUCAGUGCACUGUAAAAGUUGGCUGGAUAAACAAAUAAAUAAAUGAAGUUUAUUCUUUAGGGUCAUAAUUUUAAGUGUGUUAGUUAAUUGUAAGGUAAUUAAAACAAAUUUAAAAUAAUGUUUCAAAAACUUAUUUUAUGUCUCUCACCUAUUUGAUAUUGUAUUUUGUAGAAAAUGCCACCCCCAAAAAAUUAUAUACAGAAUAUGUAUAAACUUUAAACAAAAUUAAAAUGACUCCUUACAACUUUUCAACUAGAAACUUUAUUUAUAAACUAUUUACUAUGGUACAGCACACAAUGAUAUGUUAAAAGCCUUUAAAAAAUUAAAAUUAAGCUUUCAGAAGCUAUUGUAUUUUCAACAUUUUGGUUUAUUCUGAAGUCAAAAACAUGUACCAGACACUGAAACAUUAUGCAUAAACUUUCUCUGCAGUAGCUGUGGCUAUAAAAUAGAAAUAAUAAUGCUUUCUUUUCUUACCUUGAUGGGUUGUUUAUGAGGAGCAAAUGGGAAUGUGAAAACACUUUAGUAUUGUAAAAAUAAAUGCUAGGAAAUAUUAAAAUGAUUAAUGAACAUAGUUGGUUAUGAAAGUUUUUUCAUUUUCUUAACAAUAAUAUCUAAGAAUGUAAUAAGAAAUAGAGAUCCAGG